rnacentral:tRNA from 1 species
GCGCCUGUAGUGUAGCGGUAUCAUGAAACCCUCUCACGGUUGCGACCCGGGUUCAACUCCCGGCCGGCGCA